ensembl:snoRNA small nucleolar RNA, C/D box 53
CUGCUGUGAUGAUUUCCAAUUGGUUUCACUCACUACUGAUACCUAGUGAGGAUAUUUUUCUCUUGGCUGUCUGAGCAG